AUGGCGCCAUCCGCUGCCGCUGCAGCCAGCAGCACCGAGGCUGACGGGGCACAGCGCAUGGCCAAGUUCCUCUGCAGUUUCGGAGGCAGCAUCCUGCCCCGCCCCCUCGACGGCCGUCUCCGCUACGUCGGCGGCGACACCAGGAUCGUCAUGCUGCCCCGCGACAUAUCCUACUCCGACCUGGCGGCGCGGAUGCGGGAGCUCUAUGACGAUGCCGAUAUCAUCAAGUACCAGCAGCCUGAUGAGGAUCUUGAUGCACUGGUCUCGGUUGUUAAUGAUGAUGAUGUGGUGAACAUGAUGGAGGAGUAUGACAAGCUCAUUGCUGCGGGAGAGGGGUUCACUAGGCUCAGGGUCUUCUUAUUCUCGCAGCACCUGGAUGAUGAGGCUGCAUCAGCAGCUGUGCAUUACCAUGGGGAUGAGCGGGAGACGGAGAGGAGGUAUGUCGACGCGCUUAACAGCCUUGGUGACAUGAGAUCACCUUCAUCUCCUGUGUCAGUGGAGCAGCUUUUUGGUAUCGGAGGCAAUGAGUCAGGAAUUCCCGAUAUUGCUGGCCUGCGGCAUUUGAAUGUUCCUCGUGCCUCACAUAAUCAGCGGUAUGGGGAGAUGGAUUCUCCUUGGAGCCCUGCAUAUAUCUCUCCGGGGCAGUAUGGAGUGCCUGAUCCAAGGGAUUUUCCCAUUUCACCAUCAUCUGCAAGGUUUCAAGUUGGAGCAGAGGACUUUGAUGAGAGGAUUCCUGAUGAUUUUGUGAGGCAAUCGCCAAAAUAUCGGCAUUAUGAGGCUCAGUCACCGCCACAUGUGGAUAACUUGGUCUGGCUUCCACCUGGUGCUGUAAUUCAGCAAAAUGCUGGCUUCCCAGGGAAUUUGGGCCGCUCCGGCAAUUUCUUGGAUGGAAACAGUGUAUAUGACUCCCGUUCGUCAUUCCAGAAGGGUCAAGGUUCAGUGAGUGAUCCUCGUUAUAUGGAUCCCCGUUGGAGGCCAGUCCAACAACAUUUUGAUCAAUCAAGCAUGGCAAGUGAGUAUUCUGCUCACCCUGCUAUUCAGCGUCCAGAUUAUGGUCGUCCUGGUGAGCAUUAUGUUGUAGGCCAAGAUGUUAGACUGGAAAAUGGUGUUUAUGUGAAAGAGCAAACGGUGCAUCCCAACCAAAGCCAUCAACGGUAUGAGGAUCCAAGGUUGAAUCUGCCUGCUAAUGGUAGAGUGAUGGAUCCGUAUGCUGAUAGCAACUCAGCUAAUUCUGCAUUUGCACCCAGCAAAGUAUAUGAAAUGCAUUCAACAUCUCACAGCCGCUCAAGCCAUGAAAGUCCCCACUAUUAUCAUGGCAGUGGCCAGGGCGAGCAUGUGAGUAGUGGCUCCUAUGUCCAGACAUCAGGUUUUGAAGAAUCGACAGGCCAGCAUUACAGCCAUACUUCAACAUAUGGUGCUGAUACCUUUUACCAAAUGCAGCAGAACUUGCCGCCACUUCAAUCCAUGAGAAGGAGAGCAAGCAGCCCUGUUCACACAGGCUCAUCAUAUGAAUCACCGCACCUGCCGAUCCCAAAUGGGAGCAUCAACUCCAACUUUGUCAGAAACACAGGUGAUGUUAGUCCAAGGAUUCCUGGUAUGCCUGCAUAUGAUCGAGUCCCAAACCCAUGGCCUUCACCCAAUGGCAACAUACCAUAUAGAAUCGUUGGACAUGAUGUUCCCGCUGUUGUUGAGAACCCUUCUUCCCUUGGUUCUCGGUCAGGUCCAAACACUGCUCAGUAUGUUCAGCCUUUCUUUGCCCCAGAAUCAGUCCAGCAGCAACCAGGAGCUCCAUUGGUAGAAAUUUUUCCUGAAAGAGCAUCCGCUGGACCCAUGCUAUCACCGCUUGAUGGUAAAGUAUCUGUUGCUGCGGUACCCCUUGCUGAUCAUUUGUCCAGGUUGGACAUUAACACAACAAAGAAAUUGGAAGGAGCAGAUGAUGAAAGGCACACUCAAAAUGUGACUGAAACAAAACCUUCACACGCUGCGAGUGACCCUAGCACCUUGGUUCACAAUGUUGGAGUUGAUCUCCAACGGGGCAAACCUACAGAACAUGACGGUGGGGCUGUUGCAUUGCAGCAGUGUGGGGAUAUAUCGGAGAACAGAUUAAAUAUCCUUCCAGAGUUUGUUGCCUCUGUUAAAAAGGCUGCACUGGAAGAGUCUGAGAAGCCAGUAGAGGUUCAGCCAGAUGCUCGUCCUGCAAAUUCACCUGUUUGUGAUAACGGCAAUGAUGGGAAGAAGUUUGAUGAGAAUACUGAUGUAGAUCAGGACCCUGAUGUGCAUGGAAGCUGCGACCAGCACAAAAGUUCUGGGAUCGAAACUACACCCGCUGAAGCUGAAGCUUUGUCUAAAGGAUUACAGACUAUAAGAAAUGAUGAUCUGGAGGAAAUCAGAGAGCUUGGUUCGGGUACUUAUGGGUCAGUCUUUCAUGGUAAAUGGAGGGGUUGUGAUGUUGCCAUCAAAAGAAUAAAAGCUAGUUGCUUUGAUGGAAGGCCAUCUGAGAGAGAGCGCUUGAUAGCGGAUUUCUGGAAAGAAGCUCAGAUCCUGAGCUCGCUUCAUCAUCCAAAUGUAGUUUCAUUUUAUGGUGUUGUUCGUGAUGGCCCUGAUGGAAGCUUAGCGACUGUUACCGAGUUUAUGGUCAAUGGGUCUCUCAAACAAUUCCUGAGGAAGAAAGACAGGACAAUUGAUCGCCGCAAAAGGGUUAUAUUGGCUAUGGAUGCUGCAUUUGGCAUGGAAUAUUUGCAUGGGAAGAAUAUUGUCCAUUUCGAUCUCAAGUGUGAGAACCUACUGGUAAACAUGAGAGAUCCACAACGACCGAUCUGCAAGAUUGGUGAUCUUGGGCUAUCAAAGGUGAAGCAGCAUACUUUGGUGUCUGGUGGUGUUAGAGGAACCUUACCAUGGAUGGCACCUGAGCUUCUGAGUGGGAAAAGUGAUAUGGUGUCCGAGAAGAUUGAUGUCUACUCAUUUGGUAUUGUGAUGUGGGAGCUACUUACCGGGGACGACCCUUAUUCUGAUAUGCGUGCAGCUGAAAUUAUUGGGGGCAUCGUGAACAAUUCUCUUCGUCCUCAGAUCCCUUCCUGGUGCGAUCCUGAAUGGAAAUCAUUGAUGGAAGGUAGUUGGGCUGGUGAACCAGCUCAAAGGCCAUCCUUCACUGAAAUAUCUCAAAGGUUGCGGAAAAUGGCCGCGGCAAUGAAUGUUAAAUAA
rnacentral:rRNA from 1 species